UCCUCUCCCACUUUAGUAGGAUGUUUAACGUUUUCGUUGAAGACAUAAGGCGCUUGUCUCCAAGGACGUGUUCCACGCAGUGAAAAAGGAAGAACAGCUACAGGAAAUAUAUCCAUAAACUUUUACAUGGACUACUAAUAUUCGGACAAACGAAAGCCCGUACCAGAUUCAGUUUGUUAGCCAGAGCACAACCGCUGUUGAUUUUCUUUUUCUUUUUUUUUUUUUUGCGUGUGUGUCCGGGAUAAUUACGCACCUACACACCUCUGUGUCAUUUUUGACCUUACAUACCUCACUCCCUGUUUCUCAUAUUUGAACGUAAGCGCAACAUGUCUCUCAUCCGAAAUUUCAGCACUUCGUCUCAAGCAGAAGCGGACUCAAGCAAGAAAGUGUUGGUCCUCUACACUGGUGGAACCAUUGGUAUGAAACGAGACACGAAUGGAAGUUAUGUCCCAGUGCAAGAUUUCCUGUUUAAUGCACUGAAAGACAGAUUCCACGAUUACGAGUAUGGACAAAAGUUCUUUGUUGAUGAGGAACAAAAUUCCAACUUUGUACUUGGACCGGAGGAGUGCAACAAUGCUAAGAUUAGCAACUGGCACCAAAAUGGAAGUUUUCAGCUAUCAACAAAGGAAGGCUCCCGUAUCCACGUGAAAUUCAUUGAGUAUGAUCCACUGGUUGACUCAAGCUGUAUGUCAUAUGACAUUUGGCUUAGGAUUGCCAAUGAUAUAAAAGCAGAGUAUGAGAAUUUCGAUGGCUUUGUUAUUCUACAUGGAACUGACACGAUGGCUUAUACAGCUUCAGCAUUGUCGUUUAUGUGUGAAAAUCUUGGCAAACCCAUCAUUCUUACGGGUUCUCAGAUUCCGGUUAUAGAACUGCGCAGUGAUGGUUAUGUCAACUUCAUCUCAUCUCUAAUUGUAGCUGCUAAUUAUUGCAUCCCAGAGGUUAUGCUGUGCUUUGAUUCCAAUGUUUACCGCGGUUGCCGAGCUGUGAAAAUAGAUACGGGCGCUUUUGCAGCCUUUGAUUCUCCAAAUCUCUCCCCACUUGUGAAACUGGGAUUCAAAAUCCAAGUGAACUGGUCCUCCGUCACGAGAUCUCGAGAAAUGGAGAAAUUUAAGGUGUUUACAAACAUGUGUACCAAUGUGGCUGUCAUCCAUCUCUUUCCUUCUAUCACCUUAGAAACGAUCAAAGCAGUUAUAUUGUCCGAAGGUAUCAAAGGUAUUGUUCUACAGACGUUCGGUGCUGGAAAUAUUCCAACCAACCAAACACAGUUUGUUGAUCUGUUAAAAGAGGCAUCAGAAAGGGGUAUUCUGAUAGUCAACGUAACCCAGUGUGCCAAGGGCUCUGUUGGCAGGUAUUAUGCUGCCUCUGAGGGUCUUGGAGAGGCAGGUGUGAUUCCUGGUGGAGAUAUAACUCUUGAAGCCGCCAUCACUAAAUUGAUGUAUAUCCUAGGACAAGAAAAUCUCACACUGGAACAAAAAAGAAAGCUCAUGAAGAAGAACCUCCGUGGUGAAGUGACCAUUGUACCCAAAACUGAUUCCCCUUUGAACUUCGAACUUAUUGCCCUGAUGGCAAAAAGGUUGAGCCUUAGCACAAAUGCGGAAAUUGAAAGUUUACGUGAUACCAUUUUCCCGGACUUGAUUUGUACUGCUGCCAAGACAGGAAAUCUGAGUUCUAUGGCAGACUUGAAAGAGAAGUCUUGCUGCAGUUGAUAAUGUGAAGGCCCUGGAGUCAUGGAAACGAGCAGGAGCAGACCUAAAUACCAAAGAUUACAUGGGAUCAACAGCUCUUCAUGUUGCAGCCAAUAAAGGCCAUGAAGAGGCUGUUCAAUUCCUGUUGAGAAAUGGUGCCAAUCCCAAGAUUACUGACACAAAUGGAAGACCAGCAAAGUAUUAUGCC
rnacentral:misc_RNA from 1 species